ACUCCUGCGGGAGGCAGCAGUGGGGAAUAUUGGACAAUGGGCGCAAGCCUGAUCCAGCCAUGCCGCGUGAGUGAUGAAGGCCCUAGGGUUGUAAAGCUCUUUCACCGGUGAAGAUAAUGACGGUAACCGGAGAAGAAGCCCCGGCUAACUUCGUGCCAGCAGCCGCGGUAAUACGAAGGGGGCUAGCGUUGUUCGGAUUUACUGGGCGUAAAGCGCACGUAGGCGGACUAUUAAGUCAGGGGUGAAAUCCCGGGGCUCAACCCCGGAACUGCCUUUGAUACUGGUAGUCUUGAGUUCGAGAGAGGUGAGUGGAAUUCCGAGUGUAGAGGUGAAAUUCGUAGAUAUUCGGAGGAACACCAGUGGCGAAGGCGGCUCACUGGCUCGAUACUGACGCUGAGGUGCGAAAGCGUGGGGAGCAAACAGGAUUAGAAACCCUGUAGUCCCAUGAU
rnacentral:rRNA from 1 species